rnacentral:rRNA from 1 species
UUUGGUUAAGUUAGAAAGGGCGCACGGUGGAUGCCUUGACACUAGGAGUCGAUGAAGGACGGGACUAACGCCGAUAUGCUUCGGGGAGCUGUAAGUAAGCUUUGAUCCGAAGAUUUCCGAAUGGGGAAACCCACCAUACGUAAUGGUAUGGUAUCCUUACCUGAAUACAUAGGGUAAGGAAGACAGACCCAGGGAACUGAAACAUCUAAGUACCUGGAGGAAGAGAAAGCAAAUGCGAUUUCCUGAGUAGCGGCGAGCGAAACGGAACAUAGCCCAAACCAAGAGGCUUGCCUCUUGGGGUUGUAGGACAUUCUAUACGGAGUUACAAAGGAACGAGGUAGACGAAGCGACCUGGAAAGGUCCGUCGUAGAGGGUAACAACCCCGUAGUCGAAACUUCGUUCUCUCUUGAAUGUAUCCUGAGUACGGCGGAACACGUGAAAUUCCGUCGGAAUCUGGGAGGACCAUCUCCCAAGGCUAAAUACUCCCUAGUGAUCGAUAGUGAACCAGUACCGUGAGGGAAAGGUGAAAAGCACCCCGGAAGGGGAGUGAAAGAGAUCCUGAAACCGUGUGCCUACAAAUAGUCAGAGCCCGUUAACGGGUGAUGGCGUGCCUUUUGUAGAAUGAACCGGCGAGUUACGAUCCCGUGCGAGGUUAAGCUGAAGAGGCGGAGCCGCAGCGAAAGCGAGUCUGAAUAGGGCGUUUAGUACGUGGUCGUAGACCCGAAACCAGGUGAUCUACCCAUGUCCAGGGUGAAGUUCAGGUAACACUGAAUGGAGGCCCGAACCCACGCACGUUGAAAAGUGCGGGGAUGAGGUGUGGGUAGCGGAGAAAUUCCAAUCGAACCUGGAGAUAGCUGGUUCUCCCCGAAAUAGCUUUAGGGCUAGCCUUAAGUGUAAGAGUCUUGGAGGUAGAGCACUGAUUGGACUAGGGGUCCUCAUCGGAUUACCGAAUUCAGUCAAACUCCGAAUGCCAAUGACUUAUCCUUAGGAGUCAGACUGCGAGUGAUAAGAUCCGUAGUCAAAAGGGAAACAGCCCAGACCGCCAGCUAAGGUCCCAAAGUGUGUAUUAAGUGGAAAAGGAUGUGGAGUUGCUUAGACAACUAGGAUGUUGGCUUAGAAGCAGCCACCAUUUAAAGAGUGCGUAAUAGCUCACUAGUCGAGUGACUCUGCGCCGAAAAUGUACCGGGGCUAAAUACACCACCGAAGCUGCGGAUUGAUACCGAAUGGUAUCAGUGGUAGGGGAGCGUUCUAAGGACAGUGAAGUCAGACCGGAAGGACUGGUGAAGUGCUUAGAAGUGAGAAUGCCGGUAUGAGUAGCGAAAGACGGGUGAGAAUCCCGUCCACCGAAUGCCUAAGGUUUCCUGAGGAAGGCUCGUCCGCUCAGGGUUAGUCAGGACCUAAGCCGAGGCCGACAGGCGUAGGCGAUGGACAACAGGUUGAUAUUCCUGUACCACCUCUUUAUCGUUUGAGCAAUGGAGGGACGCAGAAGGAUAGAAGAAGCGUGCGAUUGGUUGUGCACGUCCAAGCAGUUAGGCUGAUAAGUAGGCAAAUCCGCUUAUCGUAAAGGCUGAGCUGUGAUGGGGAAGCUCCUUAUGGAGCGAAGUCUUUGAUUCCCCGCUGCCAAGAAAAGCUUCUAGCGAGAUAAAAGGUGCCUGUACCGCAAACCGACACAGGUAGGCGAGGAGAGAAUCCUAAGGUGUGCGAGAGAACUCUGGUUAAGGAACUCGGCAAAAUGACCCCGUAACUUCGGGAGAAGGGGUGCUUUCUUAACGGAAAGCCGCAGUGAAUAGGCCCAAGCGACUGUUUAGCAAAAACACAGCUCUCUGCGAAGCCGUAAGGCGAAGUAUAGGGGGUGACACCUGCCCGGUGCUGGAAGGUUAAGGAGAGGGGUUAGCGUAAGCGAAGCUCUGAACUGAAGCCCCAGUAAACGGCGGCCGUAACUAUAACGGUCCUAAGGUAGCGAAAUUCCUUGUCGGGUAAGUUCCGACCCGCACGAAAGGUGUAACGAUUUGGGCACUGUCUCAACCAGAGACUCGGUGAAAUUAUAGUACCUGUGAAGAUGCAGGUUACCCGCGACAGGACGGAAAGACCCCGUGGAGCUUUACUGUAGCCUGAUAUUGAAUUUUGGUACAGUUUGUACAGGAUAGGCGGGAGCCAUUGAAACCGGAGCGCUAGCUUCGGUGGAGGCGCUGGUGGGAUACCGCCCUGACUGUAUUGAAAUUCUAACCUACGGGUCUUAUCGACCCGGGAGACAGUGUCAGGUGGGCAGUUUGACUGGGGCGGUCGCCUCCUAAAGUGUAACGGAGGCGCCCAAAGGUUCCCUCAGAAUGGUUGGAAAUCAUUCGUAGAGUGCAAAGGCAUAAGGGAGCUUGACUGCGAGACCUACAAGUCGAGCAGGGACGAAAGUCGGGCUUAGUGAUCCGGUGGUUCCGCAUGGAAGGGCCAUCGCUCAACGGAUAAAAGCUACCCCGGGGAUAACAGGCUUAUCUCCCCCAAGAGUCCACAUCGACGGGGAGGUUUGGCACCUCGAUGUCGGCUCAUCGCAUCCUGGGGCUGUAGUCGGUCCCAAGGGUUGGGCUGUUCGCCCAUUAAAGCGGUACGCGAGCUGGGUUCAGAACGUCGUGAGACAGUUCGGUCCCUAUCCGUCGUGGGCGUAGGAAAUUUGAGAGGAGCUGUCCUUAGUACGAGAGGACCGGGAUGGACGCACCGCUGGUGUACCAGUUGUUCUGCCAAGGGCAUAGCUGGGUAGCUAUGUGCGGAAGGGAUAAGUGCUGAAAGCAUCUAAGCAUGAAGCCCCCCUCAAGAUGAGAUUUCCCAUAGCGUAAGCUAGUAAGAUCCCUGAAAGAUGAUCAGGUUGAUAGGUUCGAGGUGGAAGCAUGGUGACAUGUGGAGCUGACGAAUACUAAUAGAUCGAGGACUUAACCAUAUAA